CAAAGAAGUCUGGUGUUUGUAAGAAGAAAUCUUUCCAAAAGUGCACAGGAGUGAUUUUCCUUGGACAUCAGAGAUUCAUGGAAACUCCAGAUCACUUCAGUAAAAUGCAGUCUCACAAGGAAGAACCUGCAACAUCUCAGAGAUCACAGUCUUAAAAAGGAUUCAAACCCAGUGAGCAAUUGCAUCUUCCAUAAGUGAAACCCAUCAAUCUUCUAAAAUCAUCUCAUGGGGAGGAGAUGUCCACAGUCAGUAAACGACUGUAACAGCAACCCAGGAGCAUUACAGCUCUGACAAACCGUGAAAUGCAGAUCCAGGGAACACAGAUCUGGGGCAGCUCUUCAAGACACAUUUUGAGAGGAUGUGCAUGGCAUGGAGGUGGUUGGAAUUUGCACCCAGAGAGAACAGGUAUGUUCCUAAUGCCAUGUGGCCCUUGGUUACCAGGAUCUAUCCUCAUACACGUGGCCUCCACAGGGAUAAUGUGUGCAGAGUACAAAGGGAUCUCUUUUCCACAGCUGGGUGCUGCACCAGGAGCAGAGGGUGGAGGGACAGAGAUGAAAUCUGUGAUUCUGAUGUGAAAAUAAGAUGCACAA